UACGUAGGGUGCAAGCGUUGUCCGGAAUUAUUGGGCGUAAAGAGCUUGUAGGCGGUUUGUCGCGUCUGCUGUGAAAUUUUGGGGCUCAACCCCGAACUUGCAGUGGGUACGGGCAGACUAGAGUGUGGUAGGGGAGACUGGAAUUCCUGGUGUAGCGGUGAAAUGCGCAGAUAUCAGGAGGAACACCGAUGGCGAAGGCAGGUCUCUGGGCCAUAACUGACGCUGAGAAGCGAAAGCAUGGGGAGCGAACAGG
rnacentral:rRNA from 1 species